UCUCAUGACUUUUAUUAUUCGUUCCCAAUCCAAAUUGCCUGGAACUUUUGUUUAUACAUAUAUAAUACUUGGUUUUGGUUGUGGCAGUUAAUUGCAUGUAUUAGGAGAAAAGGUUUCCUCGGUUCCUUACUACCAAGCAAUUGCUAGAACUAAAGAGGAAAGGUAGCUCAUUAGUUGGAAUUUCUGAUAUAACUUGUGACAUUGGAGGUUCAAUAGAAUUUAUUAACUAGACCACUUCAUUGGAGAGGCCUUUCUUCAGGUUUGCAAAGUGAAAACUAGAUGAGUUUGUUUAUCUCAGGAAUCAACUGCAGGUUUCGCAUGCUCCUCAGUUCGAGUCUCUUUCUGAUAUGAAGAAGAAAUUGGAUGGUAGGAGAAAAGAAGUUCUAAGCUGACUAAAUUGUGAGUUUCUUCUAAGAUUAAUAUGUGCAGUCACUUGCAAAAAAUACCUCAUUGUACCUUGAAACAAGCUUUCUCUUCUUUUUGCCUUUUCUUUUAUAUCUACAAAUUACAGCUAGAAGAUCCAAAGGAUCAAAGCCUUCCAAGAAAAUGGAUUGGAGCUACCUCUAGGUCCCCUACAGUUUCAAGGCGGCAAGACAGUCAUAAAACUCCCAAAUUAGCGAUUUAGAUAUUCUAAUCACUUCUUGAUUAAAGUUUAGUAGGUUUAUUUCAUUAUUCCACUUUUGGUCUUUCUUUACCAUUAACGGUAAUCAUGGUGAGUUUAUAAACAGGUUGCUUUAUGCCCAAAUUUUAACAAACAGCCUUAUGAAUCUCUUAUUUAGAUAUUUUUUAGAUAGAUUAUAAUUUUUUUUUUGAAAUACAAUUAAUUUUAAUCUGGAAAUUAUAGCAAAUAGACCAAUAAAACCUAUAAGUAAUUUAAGAGAUUUGUGUCUUUGUGGCAAUCAGUGUUUCAAAAAUGCAGCCUGAAAAAAAAAUCAGUUCUCUUUCAAAAA